UUAUUGGCAACUUGUUUCCUUUUUGCUUAUUGCAUUUAUUUUGUUUUGUGAGGAGUCAAUUGUAAGUCCAUUUAUUGGCAGUUGUUUCCUGUGAUCAUUCCCUGGAGAUUGGAAUAAGUCCAUUGAGUGGCAUCUGGUAUCCAUGUUUCUUUUUGCUUUAGGAGAUUGGUGUAAGUCCAUUGAUUGGCAUCUGGUAUCCAUGUUUUGUUUCUUUUUGUUUUGGGAGAUUGGAAUAAGUCCAUUGAUUGGCAUCCGAUA
rnacentral:lncRNA from 1 species